GACACAAAAAUGAAUUUUUAUUAUUGUACUCGCCAGAGUGUUACAACUCUAUGCAUACGCACCCUCAAGCAAUAUGAGGGAUCAAACCACCGUAGUUCGUCUAAAAAAUAUUAUGUGUUGAUUAUUUUUUAAUUUUUAUAAGAUCUCAACGCACUAAGGUGAAUAAAGAUUUUCUUAAAAAAAUCUCAAUGCACAAGGGUUGAGAAAGUAGUGUUUUGAUGUGUUUGGAAUGAUUUUAGAUUAUUUAAUUGAUAAGGUGU
rnacentral:lncRNA from 1 species